rnacentral:rRNA from 1 species
ACUGGUGUACGGGUUGUGAUGCCAAUUGCAUUGCCCGGUAGCUAAGUGCGGAAGAGAUAACCGCUGAAAGCAUCUAAGCGGGAAACUUGCCUCGAGAUGAGUCUUCCCUGACCCUUUAAGGGUCCUGAAGGAACGUUUGAGACUAAGACGUUGAUAGGCUGGGUGUGUAAGCGCAGCGAUGCGUUGAGCUGACCAGUACUAAUGAACCGAGAGGCUUAACCUGACAACACCGAAGGUGUUUUG